CCUACGGGAGGCAGCAGUCGAGAAUUAUUCACAAUGGGGGAAACCCUGAUGGUGCGACGCCGCGUGGGGGAAUGAAGGUCUUCGGAUUGUAAACCCCUGUCAUGUGGGAGCAAAUUAAAAAGAUAGUACCACAAGAGGAAGAGACGGCUAACUCUGUGCCAGCAGCCGCGGUAAUACAGAGGUCUCAAGCGUUGUUCGGAAUCACUGGGCGUAAGGCGUGCGUAGGCUGUUUCGUAAGUCGUGUGUGAAAGGCGCGGGCUCAACCCGCGGACGGCACAUGAUACUGCGAGACUAGAGUAAUGGAGGGGGAACCGGAAUGCUCGGUGUAGCAGUGAAAUGCGUAGAUAUCGAGAGGAACACUCGUGGCGAAGGCGGGUUCCUGGACAUUAACUGACGCUGAGGCACGAAGGCCAGGGGAGCGAAAGGGAUUAGAUACCCCGGUAGUC
rnacentral:rRNA from 1 species